GCAGGUUGGUGGCGGGGUCAAAGUUGAAGGUUCCGCCCUGAGUGGCUUCGGGGAUCAAGCUGGGAUCCUCAUCAAUCUAAAACGAAAGGAGGAAAAUAAAUGGAUCAGGGUGGUGCCAUAGAUGAACAAACACAGAGUGGAGACUAGAUUCACUGUCACUACAGAAAACAGCGAUGGUGCUGGCCUCUUCCCCGGCCAUGAUGAGGACGUUCUUGAGGCCGUCUAGGACCACCUGAACCACUUGGGAGUCCUUCACAGACAGCAGGCUGCAGAACGGAGGAACCACAUUCUGCUGCACCAGGUUGGGGAAGUGCGAAAGGACGUCACAGUUGAGCACCACCUGCGUCUGCUCGUCUGUCCCCGUCACAAUGUUCCCCACUGCCCUCAGAGCUGCAGUCUACAGGAUAUGACAUCAUAGGUGGUUAAUGACGUCACAGGAAGUCACACAUUCCAUACAGACCUGAGCCCUAGGACCAUGCCCCAGGACUACCUGACAUGAUGACUCCUUGCUGUCCCCAGUCCACCUGGCCAUGCUGCUGCUCCAGUUUCAACUGUUCUGCCUUACUAUUAUUCGACCAUGCUGGUCAUUUAUGAACAUUUGAACAUCUUGGCCAUGUUCUGUUAUAAUCUCCACCCGGCACAGCCAGAAGACUGGCCACCCCACAUAUUAUGCUCUCUCUAAUUCUCUCUUUCUUUCUCUCUCUCGGAGGACCUGAGCCCUAGGACCGUGCCCCAGGACUACCUGACAUGAUGACUCCUUGCUGUCCCCAGUCCACCUGACUGUGCUGCUGUUCCAGUUUCAACUGUUCUGCCUUAUUAUUAUUCGACCAUGCUGGUCAUUUAUGAACAUUUGAACAUCUUGGCCAUGUUCUGUUAUAAUCUCUACCCGGCACAGCCAGAAGAGGACUGGCCACCCCACAUAGCCUGGUUCCUCUCUAGGUUUCUUCCUAGGUUUUGGCCUUUCUAGGGAGUUUUUCCUAGCCACCGUGCUUCUACACCUGCAUUGCUUGCUGUUUGGGGUUUUAGGCUGGGUUUCUGUACAGCACUUUGAGAUAUCAGCUGAUGUACGAAGGGCUAUAUAAAUAAAUAUGAUUUGAUUUGUUUUCUCACGCAAUUGCAUAGCCUAUUAAAAUGUUGCGCAACAUGA